UACGUAGGGUGCAAGCGUUAUCCGGAAUUAUUGGGCGUAAAGAGCUCGUAGGCGGUUUGUCGCGUCUGCUGUGAAAACUGGGGGCUCAACCCCCAGCCUGCAGUGGGUACGGGCAGACUAGAGUGUGGUAGGGGAGACUGGAAUUCCUGGUGUAGCGGUGGAAUGCGCAGAUAUCAGGAGGAACACCGAUGGCGAAGGCAGGUCUCUGGGCCACUACUGACGCUGAGAAGCGAAAGCAUGGGGAGCGAACAGG
rnacentral:rRNA from 1 species